GUGCUCGCUUCAGCAGCAUGUAUACUAAAACUGGGACGAUACAGAGAAGAUUAGCAUGGCCUCCACACAAAGAUGACACACAAAUUCGUGAAGCAUUCCAUAAAAAG